CCUACGGGUGGCAGCAGUGGGGGAUAUUGCACAAUGGGGGGAACCCUGAUGCAGCGACGCCGCGUGGGUGAAGAAGCGCCUCGGCGCGUAAAGCCCUGUCAGCAGGGAAGAAAAUGACGGUACCUGAAGAAGAAGCCCCGGCUAACUACGUGCCAGCAGCCGCGGUAAUACGUAGGGGGCAAGCGUUAUCCGGAUUUACUGGGUGUAAAGGGGGCGCAGACGGCGAUGCAAGCCAGGAGUGAAAGCCCGGGGGCCAACCCCGGGACUGCGCUUGGAACUGCGUGGCUGGAGUGCAGGAGGGGCAGGCGGAAUUCGUGGUGUAGCGGUGAAAUGCGUAGAUAUCAGGAGGAACACCGGUGGCGAAGGCGGCCUGCUGGACUGCAACUGACGUUGAGGCCCGAAAGCGUGGGGAGCAAACAGGAUUAGAUACCCCGGUAGUC
rnacentral:rRNA from 1 species